AAAUCGGUGGUCUAUAAGGAGAACCAAUAUAAAAUGUGCUAUCGGUGGUAUCUGGCACCCUCCAGACUGGCCAAUAUGUAUCCAAAUUUAAUCCACUUUGUUGGAAAUGUAAAAAAACAAAGGGUACCUUCUUCCACGCUUGGUGGCUAUGCCCGAAGAGUAAAAAAUAUUGGGAAAAAAUAUGAACAUGGAUACAGAAAUAAUAAAUAUUCAAUUGGAAUUUAAGGCUGAAAUCUUUUUGUUGGGAAUAAUAAAAGGUGAAUUCGCAAAAAAAAACAAAAUACUUAAUUUUACAUAUAAUCACUGCAGCAAGAAUAGCACUAGCACAAUGUUGGAAGGGUGAUCAAAUGCCAAUGGAUACUUUGAUAAUUCAGAAGACUAUACAGAA